GACGAAUGCUGGCUUCUUGCUUAUCACAUGCGAGUCGAGCUGUAAGUCCUCUUCGUGGAUCCCCGAACGGCGAACGGAUGUGUAAUACUUGGGUGACCUGCCCUCAGCUCUUGGGUAUGACUCUGCGUCUGGGUCUAAUACCGGGUAUGACCUUUUCUCGCAUGGAGUUUGUUGGAAAGUUUUUUCGCUUGGGCAUGUGCCCGCGGCCUAUCAGCUUGUUGGUGGGGUGAUGGCCUACCAAGGAGAGGACGGGUAGCCGGCUGGAGAGGUAGACGGGCGACAGUGGGACUGAGACACGGACCAGAAUCCUACGGGAGGCAGAAGUGGGGAAUAUUGAGCAAUGGGCGGAAGCCUGACGCAGAGACGCCGCGUGGGGGAUGACGGCCUUCGGGUUGUAAACAUAGUUCGACCCCGACGAAUUUGGACGGUAGGGGUAGAAGAAGCACCGGCAAACUACGUG
rnacentral:rRNA from 1 species